rnacentral:lncRNA from 1 species
AAAGAACAAGUAAAAUUCAAUGAAGGAUAAAUUUGGAGAGAAACUUCCUUGGAGUUUUGAACUUGUUUCCCUCAAGUAUUUCCAGUUCCAUGUUCCAAGAUCACAAGUAUUGUGUCGACCUUUUCUACUUGCUUCCAUCUGAAACUGAUCCUUUAUAUCCUGCACUUUCAAAACAACUAGAGAAACCACAUCAAAUCUCUGAAAGAAAUAAUCAAAGGGUUUCUCUUUCCUUAAG